rnacentral:rRNA from 1 species
UACAGAGGUCCCAAGCGUUGUUCGGAUUCACUGGGCGUAAAGGGUGCGUAGGCGGUCGGGUAAGUCUGACGUGAAAUCUCCAAGCUCAACUUGGAAAUGGCGUCGGAUACUAUUCGGCUCGAGGAGUGGAGGGGAGACUGGAAUUCUCGGUGUAGCAGUGAAAUGCGUAGAUAUCGAGAGGAACACCAGUGGCGAAGGCGGCUCACUGGUCCGGUACUGACGCUGAGGUGCGAAAGCGUGGGGAGCAAACAGG